rfam:Triticum aestivum genome assembly, contig: Triticum_aestivum_CS42_TGACv1_scaffold_112503_2AS
AAGCCAAUGAUGAUUAGCUUUAUGCUGGAAUUACAGUCAGAUACCUGAUGACGAUAUUUCUGCGGCUUUCUGAGGCUUAUG